UACGAAGGGGGCUAGCGUUGCUCGGAGUUACUGGGCGUAAAGCGUGCGUAGCGGUGCCAUAAGUCUGUUGUGAAAUCUCCCGGCUUAACUGGGAGGGUGCGGUGGAAACUGUGGUGCUGGAGUGUGGGAGAGGUAGGCGGAAUUCCUGGUGUAGCGGUGAAAUGCGUAGAUAUCAGGAGGAACACCUGUGGUGUAGACGGCUUACUGGACCAUGACUGACGCUGAGGCACGAAAGCGUGGGGAGCAAACAGG
rnacentral:rRNA from 1 species